UGCCGGGAAGGUUCCGCCCACUCACUUCCGGCUGUGUCCCGAGGUUGGCUUCCCCCGCAGCCGGCGCUUCCUGCCCGGGUGGGCCCGAAAGAGCCGCUGCGUCGCAGUGAGGGCCCGAGUUCCGCUCUUCACGGCGCCUUUGCGUCAGUGACCGCAUUCGAAUGGAUACCCUUUUGCGGAGCUCAAGUUCGACCUCGGUGUUGGAGAUGAAGAGACAGGUUUAGAACUUAAGCUUCGACUUGUGCCCACUAAGCAGUUUUCUGACUCCCACGCCUUUCAUCUCCCUGGGGAGGCUGUGCUCAGCCUCCGCCUUGGGCUUGUCCUCCUCUUCUCCUCGCCUCCACGUCUCCCUUUACUUAGAUUAAGUUGGCUGUGGAUGACGUUUAGUGUAAUUCCUAAUGCAGAUAAAGGUGCGGGCUAAAAGAGGCCCAAUAACUUAUGAAGAACGCACAGCAAGUAAUCAGAAGAGUUGGAACUCCACCUGAGGACUUCAGGCUUUGCAGCCGGUGUAAACCUCAUCCCAUCCCACGACCUCAGGUGAGGAAACUGAGGCCCUACAAGGGGACGGAGUUUGUCCAAGAUCGCAAAUUGAGCAAAUGCCUUUCCCAGGCCUAGACCCCAGGUCCAGUGUGCAAAGAAGCUGGGCCUGGCUGCAGAGCCAGGCAGUUCCUUUCAUUUCAACAGAAGACGACGCGGCAGGCCAGUGUCCAAAGUGUACAAGGUGCAUGAAGUAACGGCCAGCAGCGUCUUCUCAUGACGCCAUCUCUGGUUCUGAUCCUCCCGCCUCCCUCCUGUAACGGCCCUGGUGACUACAUCAGGCCCGCAGGAUAAUCCAGGGUGAGCUCCCCACCUCCCCCAUCCCCGCCAUCGCAAGAUCCUUAACUGAAUCACACCUGCCAAGUCUCGUUACCAUGGAGGGCAACACCAUCACAGGUUCCAGGACAUGGACAUCUUUGGAGGCCACUGUUCUGCUGCGGCCAGGCUUCCCUCCAGGGGUCCCAUUAGGGCCCAGACUGAUUUCCCCAGGCUUUAGUCCAGUAUCAGAGAGCACACUUUUCUAUUGCCUGUCCUGGAAAAAAUUCCAGGGUUUUCUCCGACUGUGCUAACUUGGGUCACACGCUCACUGCCAAACCAAUGGUCAUGCCUACUGGAAUGGACCUGAGUCUCAGGCCCACCCCUAGAGCUAGCGUUCAGUCAGCCCCCAUAGUGACCUGGAGGAAAGGAGUGUGAGACCUCCAAGGAGAGUUGAGGAGUCUUACAGAAGAAGAGGGAGGGGUCGCCAACCACUGUAGACCUUAAAGAGUUGUAUCCAUAUCCAGGUGGAAAGUGUGCUCCCAGGCACACAGCCAGCACGAGGUAGGGCCGUGAUUUGAACCUGUGUGGGGCCAGUUCUUGCCAGGACAUCAGCUCCCACCCUGCAGCUAACGGGGCAUUAGCAGAUCUGUUCAGUACUGGCAGUGCCAUGGAGCACAGUGGUGGCCUGGGUGACAACCUCAUGUGAGGUUAGUAUGGGACAUGUCGAGGAAGGUACGUGGUUAACACAAUCACUGGCAAGGUAGAUACCCUCAGAGAAAAAGGAAAUUUCCAUUUUACUCCUAAAAGAAUCUUUAAAGCCAAACUCAAAUCAAAGAGCAAAGUAUAAUAACUUCCUCUGAGCAAAUUUAUAAUUAAUCCUGGAUUAAUUGGCCUUAAUGAAGUUGAAUUAAUUACUAGCUGUUCGUAAAGAACUUUGAACUACCUUCGUACAAAAUGGCAUUAAAGAAACAGAAAGGAACCAGCAUCGCAUUAACAUUAAGAACAAAUCCCCAAUAAUCGCAGUUCUGCAGGCCGUUCCCUGUCAGUCAUUUCCCAGAGACAAGGCCCAGCCUUGGAACCCAGGCUGGGACCCAGGAGUCUGCUGCAGAGGAUGGUGUCUUUGUGGGCUGGAGGUUUGGAGGUGGGUCCACUCAAGAAACAGUUAUGGAGGCUUUGAUGUGCCAGGCCGAGGGGAAGCAAAGAUGUGUAAGGGGUCCUCAGCCUGCUGGGACAGGGGAGAGCACCAGGGCACCAGCCUGGUCUAAAGCAAACUCGCCUCACUGGGGUAGAAGCCAGGAUAGGGACAAAGGACAAAGGAGGGGGCAUGAUGUGACCUGCAUUUUGCUGGCAACAGGGCUCCAGUUCCUACAGGGUGUCCCUCACACUCUCCCUGGCUCUUGGAGUGAGCUUAUGACUCACACCUGCCUAGGCAGAGGUCUGUAUUUCUCUGCUUGGUGCAGGGGCACAGCUGACCCCAGGAUACAGUCUGAAUCUGGCUGACUUUUCAGACAACUCAGAGCUGCCGUCUCCUUGGCACUUGUGGAGACAGGGCUAGACUCCAGGCUACUGCUGGGGCAGCACCUGUCUUGGAGCCAGCUGUGGUGUGAGUUGGACACGGUAAGACCUGGCUUAAAGCCCCAGCCCUGCCGCUGGUGAGCGUUUAGGUGUAAGUCGGGCCGGGUAACAGCUACAGCCCGCAGCCCCAAGGCUCGGCGGCCUCACCAGGCAAAAUGUCUCUCAGAUUUCACAUGAAACACUCUCGUCUCUUGAAAAGCGGGAAGAUGGGGCAAUGUUGGGCUAGCAUUCUUGCCUGGUGUCACUUGGCCAAAGCUGAGCCGUGGCUCCCCAUCUGUGGCCACAGGACAUGUGCUCUCCACCUCCGCAGUCUCCACCACCCCGGGCACCUUAAACCCUGCUGAUUACUCUCUGGCGAGUCACCAGCCUGGCCAGGGCAGACCUUUAAAUUUGUGAUCCGUGUUGUUGCCCGUGGGCGACACCUUUUCUGUGGGUGACAUUUCAAGAGAAUGAGCGUUGCGGGCCCUCCCCAGCACGCGCGCACUCA